UCGUUCACAAUCACCCUAAGGCAGAUGUCAAAGAUUAAGAAGUUACUCGUAUGCUAUCUCUCUGUCUUGUAAUUCAACGCCGUAUUCGCGUAACUCCUUUUGGAUGCUACCACAGGGUUAUUGUGAACGAAACACCCCUAAAUCUUGAAAAGACGACAUCUAAUGUUCCUUCAUAAAACACUGACCUGCCCCCCUCUUUUGUUUCUUAUUGCAUCAUUAUUCAGAAAGGUGACUAAUGUUUCAAACUAAAUAUAACCCAACCUGGAAUAAAAUUGCAUUAAUUUUAUCAAAAAAACAAAUUAAUUUCCCCCGUCUUUAAAUUCCAUUUUAAAUCUAUUAAUUAACUAAGAAUGGAGCAGCUGGUCAGCUUGCUCACGGACUUGUGGAUCAGGGACGCAAACAAGAACUCUAUCAGGAACUCAAUUUGCUCAGCAGAGAGGUUGCUCAACUGAGGAAUGCUCCAACUCCAGACCUAGUACAGACGAUGAUUUCCAGGUAUCUUUUAAAGCUUGCCAAUUCUCCGGAACCUGCACUGGAGAACCUGCUCAGAAACCUCAACCCGUCCAACGCCAAGUCGCUGAAGGGCCAAAUCAACCUGGGGGGAAUAGUCCGACUCGGAGACGUAUCUCGUCAAGUAAUAGACAGGUUUUUUUCUCGCGGAUUCCAAUUGGAAGCCCGUCCAGAUUCAGAGAAAGGAUUAGAAUCUAGGAAUCAAGUAUUAGCUUGUUGGAAUCCUUGGAAAAAAUUCACCAACGUUCUAAUUUUAUCAAAAACAAAGGAAAGUUUAAAUUUAUUGAUACACAAUUGUUAAUUAAAUACAAUAAAAACCACCAUAAAGAAUUACUAUUCAAAAUCAUACUUUUUAAUAAAAAAACUGAAGUUGUUCAGAAGUAUUUAAAUUGAUAAGUUAAAAUGUUUUUAAAUAAAUUUUUGUUUAUUUUCUUGAUUAAUAAAUGAAUCUCUAUUUUGACCCUUAGUUUCGCACAACAUAUUUCAUUUAAUCCAAAUAUUAAUGAAUGUAUGAAAUUAAAACCAAACUGUUACUAAUUGUCUAGUAUUUUUUCAGUGGUCUGCAGAAUAAAAUGGAAAAGAUAAAAUGACCAGAAAUCCAACUAAUAUUUAUUUAUUUUGUUGCUGUAAAAUUCUAAUUUAAAAUCUGUUGUCAGUUUUCAUUACCAAGGUUGUUUUGCACGUUAAGAGAUUUUAUCUAAAGAUCGUUUUGUCUUCUGUUUUAUUUUGUGGAGCCAUCGUAGUAUACUGAUAUUAUAAUGCUUUAAUUCAACAAUGCUUUAAUGUUAAUUCCAAACAAAUGUGAUUUAUAAACAUGUCAGAAAAUAAAACAUUUAUUUUAUAAUUAUAAA